UGGGUAAUUUGCGCGCCUGUUGCCUUCCUUGGAUGUGGUAGCCGUUUCUCAUGCUCCCUCUCCGGAAUCAAACCCUGAUUCCCCGUUACCCGUGGUCACCAUGGUAGGCGCAAAAAGUACCAUCAAAAGUUGAUAGGGCAGACAUCCGAAUGCGUCGUCGCCGUCACGGGGAUGUGCGAUCAGCCUGAAGUUAUCUAGAGUCACCAAAGUACCUGCGCAACGACUGCCGAGUUGCCCACAUUCUAACUUGUGCUGAUUACUGGAUGGCCAUCCUGCUUAAUUACAUCACUAGAGCAUGAUGGGAAGAUGCGUGACUACAAGCGCACGCUGGAAGACGCGCUGCUGAGGGCAUUCCCAACUGACAACGGGGGAUCAGUGGAAGCACAAG